rnacentral:rRNA from 1 species
GACAGAGGUGGCAAGCGUUGUUCGGAUUUAUUGGGUGUAAAGGGUCCGUAGGUGGCUAUGCAAGUCCGGUGUGAAAUCCCACAGCUCAACUGUGGAACUGCAUUGGAAACUGUAUGGCUUGAGUAUCGGAGAGGUGAGGGGAAUUCUCGGUGUAAGGGUGAAAUCUGUAGAUAUCGAGAGGAACACCAGUGGCGAAAGCGCCUCACUGGCCGGUUACUGACACUGAGGGACGAAAGCUAGGGGAGCAAACAGG